GGAAAAUAAAGACAGUACCUGGAGGGUAUAUCAGGUUGAUUUUGGCUUAAUCCCAAGUCCCACAUCGGUGGAUUCAUUGUUUGGGAAGGAGGUUUGAAGGUUAUAAAUUAAACUCUCCCCCUUCACUGUUAAAAUAUCCCAAUUUGUAAUAUCUUCUCUCAUAAUAAUAAAAGGGAGUUGUUUUUGCUGUGCUCGGAGAUUAGGCUAAACAGGCCGAACUCCGUUAACAAUUUUCGGGUGUGUUUUUUCCUCUUUAUCUCUUUUCCCAACAUAUCAGAGAAGGAAAUUUAACAAUAGAGAUUGAGCGGGUUAGUUAGUUGUUAGGUGAGUUAGUUGAGGUGAGGGGGGUCUUUAAAUAAAGGCCGACCUGUUGUGGGGGAGGGGAUCGGAAUUGUUGUAAGAAGUUGACAGGAUUAAACCUGUGUGAAAGGAGCUAUUCUCCUUUGUAACCCUUUUGGGUGUUCUGUUCUGCACUGUAAUAAAACAGAGUUUUCUUUCUUCUUGUUGUGUUUGGGAGGGAUUCUGGGUUUUCUGUUUGGGAUCCUAACAGUUUGGUCCGACCUGCCGGAUCUGAAUAAACAGAGAGUGAGGAAGAAAAGAUGGAACAGAGGAUGGCAGCAGUAGAGAAAUUUACCAGCGAACAAUUGAAAUGGAAUUCUGAAAUAAGAGCAGAAAUUCUGGGGUUGAAAGAAGGCAUGCUGGAGUUAAAAGAAAUCAAAGAAAUGUUGCGGGAUCUCAAGAAAGGAGAUAGAAGGUCGGAAGGGGGAGAGAGUUCGGUGAAUGGUGAGGAAAGAG
rnacentral:lncRNA from 1 species